rnacentral:lncRNA from 10 species
AUUGUCAAAUGACUGGGAGGAAAACCCUUGGCCCAGGAGAGAUCACGGAAGGCUGGUCACAAACCAAGCCAGAUGUUGACUUUCUUAAGACCAGCGAAUAGAGACAGGAGUUUCUUUUAUACUUAGAGAAACCAGAGAGUUUCACGGUAGCGUAACAACACGAGUGGAAGCAAGUCUCCAUCUGUCUUGAAAAAAAGAAGAAAAUGGUGAUGGAAUGGAAGAAAGAGAACUAAAGGAGAGCCAUCAAAUCAGACAAAAGCUAUCUGUCUCUUUGGAGAGACAACCUCUGGGCUCAUCCACUGCAUUACAUUCUUAGAGCUUGUAGAAGAGCGGUCAUUAAAUAUUUUCAAGGCUACAGACUCCUUCAAGAAUUGAUAAAAGCUAUAGAACUUCUUUCCACAAAAAUGCAUGUAUUGCACACUGAAUGUCUGCAUGCAGUCCU